rnacentral:rRNA from 1 species
GACAGCAGUCGCCGCGGUAAUACAGAGGGUGCGAGCGUUAAUCGGAUUUACUGGGCGUAAAGCGUGCGUAGGCGGCUUCUUAAGUCGGAUGUGAAAUCCCUGAGCUUAACUUAGGAAUUGCAUUCGAUACUGGGAAGCUAGAGUAUGGGAGAGGAUGGUAGAAUUCCAGGUGUAGCGGUGAAAUGCGUAGAGAUCUGGAGGAAUACCGAUGGCGAAGGCAGCCAUCUGGCCUAAUACUGACGCUGAGGUACGAAAGCAUGGGGAGCAAACAGGAUUAGAUACCCCCGUAGUCCCUGUCUCUUAUAC